rnacentral:rRNA from 1 species
GGGGGGGGGGGGGGGGGGGGCGGGCACGGGCGAGUCGAGCGGCGGCGCGGGAGGGGGGGGCGGUGGGGGGGGGCGAGGGGCGGAGGGGUGAGGAGUAGAUGGGAAUCCACUUUUUCGGGGGGGAUAACGUAGGGAGACUUCCGCUAGGACCGCAUACGACCUACGGGGGAAAGCAGGGGAUCUUCGGGCCUUGCGCUGUGGAAUGAGCCGACGUCGGCUUGGCGAGUUGGCGGGGUAAAGGCCCAGCAAGGCGACGAUCCUUAGCUGGUCUGCGAGGAUGAUCAGACACACUGGAACUGAGGCACGGUCGAGACGCCUACGGGAGGCAGCAGUGGGGAAUAUUGGACAAUGGGCGCAAGCCUGAUCCAGCCAUACCGCGUGGGUGAAGAAGGCCUUCGGGUUGUAAAGCCCUUUUGUUGGGAAAGAAAAGCAGCAGGUUAAUACCCCGCUGUUCUGACGGUACCCAAAGAAUAAGCACCGGCUAACUUCGUG